AGUUUAUAGAAACAAACCUAUUCACAAAAAUGACAUCCUGGUUGUAUGAAUGUCUUUGUGAAGCUGAACUAGCACAGUAUUAUCCUCAUUUUACUGCCCUUGGCCUUCAGAAAAUAGAUGAAUUAGCCAACGUUACAAUGAAGGACUACUCCAAAUUGGGAGUCCAUGACAUGAAUGACCGCAAACGUCUCUUCCAACUUAUCAAAAUCAUUAAGAUUAUGCAGGAAGAAGAUAAAGCAGUCAGUAGCCCAGACUAUCGUCUUCAGACAAGCAAUCUGUGUGUCAAGCCUCAGAAAUCCAGAUCUGGCCCUCGAAGGCAACUGCAUUUUGAUUCUCCUGCUGACAACAAAGACAGAACUACCAGCAACAAUCAGUUUGAACUGUGUGAUUUAUCAGAUUUUUCUGCAAGUGAACAGAAGUCUAACUACAUAAAAGUACUGGAGCACAUGCUACCAGCUAAUUCCCAGUACCAUAUACAAACAGGAAUUCUGAAUGCCACAGCCGCUGAUUCCUGCAUACAAAAAGAAGCUAAGACUUCAUCCUUUUCAUCUAAUUACUUUUCUCCAGUACAGGGGGAUUGUGAUAGUUCAGUUAUUCAAAGAAUCUCUCAUGUUUCAGGGUAUAACUAUGGAAUCCCUCAUUCCUAUAUCAGAAGCCAGAGUUUCAGAACCCUGAGAAACUCCCUCACCAACUUGAAGCUUCCUGUUAGUGAGUCAUCCCUAUCCGAAGAGCAUUCUCUUUGGAUACCUCAAAUUAGACAGAACACUUCAGAGAAAGAGAAUCCUUGGACUGAGAUGGAGAAAAUCAGAGUUUGUGUUCGAAAACGCCCUCUGGGCAUGAGGGAGGUACGUCGUGGAGAAAUCAACAUUAUUACUGUGAAAGAUAAAGAAACUCUACUUGUUCAUGAGAAGAAAGAAGCAGUUGACCUCACACAGUAUAUUCUACAGCAUGUUUUUUAUUUUGAUGAAAUCUUUGAUGAGGCGUGCACUAAUCAAGAUAUUUACAUGAAGACUACUCACCCACUCAUUCAGCAUAUUUUCAAUGGGCUCUUCGCAAGAGAAGAUAGCAAGCACGUAGUACAAAUAGUGGGACUGCGAGAGCUUCAGGUGGAUAGUGUGGAGCUCCUCUUAGAGGUGAUCCUCAAGGGCAGCAAGGAGCGCAGCACCAGGGCCACUGGAGUUAAUGCAGACUCCUCCCGCUCUCACGCUAUCAUCCAAAUUCAGAUCAAAGAUUCAGCCAAGAGGACAUUUGGCAGGAUCUCUUUCAUUGACUUGGCUGGCAGUGAAAGAGCAGCGGAUGCCCGAGACUCAGAUAGACAGACAAAGAUGGAAGGCGCAGAAAUAAACCAGAGUCUUCUGGCUCUGAAGGAAUGUAUCCGUGCAUUGGAUCAGGAACACACCCACACUCCUUUCAGGCAAAGCAAAUUAACUCAGGUGCUGAAGGACUCUUUCAUUGGCAAUGCCAAAACCUGCAUGAUCGCCAACAUCUCACCAAGCCAUGUGGCCACUGAACACACUCUGAAUACUUUGCGCUAUGCUGACCGGGUCAAAGAACUAAAGAAAGGCAUUAAAUGUUGUACGCCAGCUAACAGUCGAAAUCGAACAUCUGGAAACUCUAACUCUUCUCCAAAACGAAUUCAGAGCUCUCCUGUGGCCCUGCCAGGGGACAAAUGUUCUCCCAAAAAAGUCAAGCUGGGGCUUCAGCAGCCGCUCACAGUGCCAUCUGGCUCCAUGAGAGGGAAGGCCCAUCCUCUGGCUAGUCACCCAGCCAAUAUCCCUUUUGCUUCUAUACCUAAGGUUCCUGGCAAAGAGGGUGGCUCUCGAGGGAGUCCUCCCCGAGAGUGGGUCAUUCAGACUAGCUCUAGCAAAGGAACCGUGCUGUCUGGACAUGUAGCCAUAAAAAGGGCAGAAGAAUCAGCUGCAUUAUGCUCUGAGAAAAACCCAAUUGGCAACAAAACCUCCCUAGGCUGGGGAAGCAGGGCGCCAGGCCCAGGAGGGGACCUGGCCCAUGGUAAGCCACCCUCCCGGUGCAAGAAAGUGCAGACUGUGCAGCCUGUGCAGAAGCAGCUUGUGUCUCGAGGCGAGCUCUCCUUUGGCAGUGCCCAGCGCUUAGCGGAGUACGGUCAGGGCAGCAAGGAGGGCGCGCCAAGCUGGCCUGCCUCUGAAGCCUGGACCAACAUCCCUGCGCAGCAGGCGGCGAGGGAGGAGCAUUUGCGCUUUUACCACCAGCAGUUCCAGCAGCCACCUCUCCUCCAGCAGAAGUUACAGUACCAACCCCUGGAAAGGUUUUUAUGCCGGUCCCGGCCCCCAGAAGGGCAGCUCCAGAGUGACAUCCCUCCUCCCUUCCACCCUCAUCGUGCUGAGAGUCAUGAUGGAGCCCAAGUCCCUCAAGCCGAGGACCCUGAUGACAGCGACUUCAGUGAAGAUUCUUUUUCACAUGUCUCCUGUCAGAGGACCACAAAGCAGGGAGAGAGCCCGGAGAACAGCGAAGGCUCGUUCUUCCUUCAUCAGAGGGAGCAAGGUCCUGAGGAGCAGGUGGCUGAAAGGCAGCAGAGUCUGUUUCUCAGCCCAGAUGGUGACAAGGAGGGUGUAACUAGAAGCUGGGUGUACUCCAGGGACCCCGCAGGCCACAGAAGGAUAACACUCAAUCACAGCCGCAGCCCAGGUCAGGUGCCCUUGGACUGGAGCGGAGAGGAGGACUCAGGCUCCUCAGGGCCUCCUCCCAGAGAAGACCUGGCAGGGAAGCCUUACUGCUCACAGGUGGACUCUGUGUAUGAUCGGGAAGGAGGUGGCGGCCCUGCUUUUGACCUCAGACAGGAAGCCUUCAGAAGUGAGGUUCCUGGGCAGGCCGAGGGCAGCUUGCCAUCCCUGGAGGAAGAUGGUUUCACUUGCUCACUAUCCCACAUCGCAGUUCCUGGAUCCCCAGACCAGAGAGACACAGUGAGCACACCCCUGAGAGAAGUCAGUGAAGACAGCCCAAUUCUGGAGACCAGACCAAGGAAAAACAGUAACCCUUUCCAAGGAGAAGACUCUAAUGGUGAAUUAGGCACGUGCUCUGAGUAUGCUUCCGGACUGAUGGCUCCGCUCACCAUGUCCCUCCUGGAGAGCCUGGAUGAUGGGGGGGCUCCUUCCUGGGAGCAGCCGGCCCAGGAUGGAACUGCGCAUGGUCUCAUGGCAGUGGACACAGAGGGGCCAGCAGUGAGCCGUGCAGUGUCAUCGGGUGAUCCAGAGGCGGUCCUGCCAACAUCUUCGGCAACCGAGCACCUGUGGCUCUCCUCAUCUCCCCCCGACGACAAGCCUGGGGGCAGUCUUCCAGCUCUGUCCCCAUCACCCAUCCGUCAGCGCCCACCUGACGAGCUGCCCAGCGGAGAGGCUGACCCGGGGGAGGCCUGCCAGAGCAGAGGGACCGCACUUUUCUCCCGGGGGCACCGUUAUGCCAAUGCUGAGACAGAGCUGGACAGCUCCCAGGGUUUCCUGGGAAAGCCCUUCCUCACCUUACAUCCUGGAGGACCUCACGCUGGGCCUACACUCACCCCCAGAGCAGGAAAUAGUGAUGUGGCUGACCAGCCUGGGGCCCAGGAGAGAAAGCAGCUCACUGGGCCCAGCUGGCUGGAACUGGGUUUCUCCACAGACCCCAUCACACUGUCUUGCUACAAUGAGGACAUUGCAUGGCUCAAACAUAGGCCAAUCCCAAGGUCCUUAGCAAGGCCAGGCUCUCCGCUGGUGGCCAGCUGCUCUCCCAAGAUCGCUGGGACACUCCGUCAGCCUGCCCUGGGACAUGCACAGCAGGUGGUCAUCCAAGCACACCAGGAACAGCUGGAUGAAAUGGCUGAGUUGGGCUUCAAGGAGGAGACCCUGAUGAGCCAGCUGGCUCCUACUGAUUUUGAAGGUUUUGUGAUUCAGCUAGAUGAAAUCAUGGUUCUGAAGUCCAAGUGCAUCCAGAGUCUGAGGAGCCAGCUACAGCUAUACCUGGCCUGCCACAAGCCAGCUGCAGGCCCUGAGAGGACAGCGGUGUCUUAGAGUGGAGUUGGUAUGGGGUGGCUGGGCUCUCAAGAGCUGGAGGGGCCUCCACCAGGUCCCCCUGCAGAUCUCGGCACCCACUCCCUUGUCCCUCCCAUGCUGGUCGCUCCCUCACCACUCAUGGCCUGGGCUGGGUCCCAGCUCCUCUCUCAGAGCAAGCAUCUGUCCAGUUCCAAGCACCGGGGCUUCUGCAGGGAAGGACAGAUGAGCCUGAACAACUUCUAAUAGGUCUCUCCCUUUUCUUUGGGGUUGAGGAUUUGCAUUACUGACCCUUUGUGGAAACACAGUUGGGUCUAAUAACCCUGUAGAUGUUUCUGAAUUUGGGGGUCUGAGGAUGGGGGCGGGCGGUGGUCAGCGGUAACCUACAGGUUGGAGGUCGCAAGCUAGGAGAGAGGACAUGCUGAGCCUAGAGGUUUUACCAGCUGGAUUCUGUGCCUUCCUCCAGGACUUGGUCAAAAACUAAAACGCUGGUGCUAGUGGGGUGGGGGUUGGGUGAGAUCUGCCCCACCAGCCCUUGGGAGGUUAGCUUUUGAUGAAUAAACCGUAACUCAAUGUCCCGCA
rnacentral:lncRNA from 1 species